GACGAACCGUCCAAACGUUUAUUCGGAAUCACUGGGCUUACAGAGUUCGUAGGCGGUCUGGAAAGUUGGGUGUGAAAUCCCUCGGCCUAACCGAGGAACUGCGCUUGAAACUACCAGACUCGAGGGAGAUAGAGGAAAGCGGAACUGAUGGUGGAGCGGUGAAAUGCGUUGAUAUCAUCAGGAACACCGGUGGCGAAGGCGCUUUCUGGGUCUUACCUGA
rnacentral:rRNA from 1 species